UUCAGGUUUAGCUUUCCUUUGGACGUAAUAAUUUCCUAUGUGAGUCCUUUAAAAUAAUACCCAAAAUCAUGGUUUUAGUGAACAUUCUAGUUUUACAUAGAAGCUUUGCCGGUAAUCAAGUGAAAAGAGGGGGAAGCCCGGUGUUCUUCAGGCGUCAUUACCCUAAUCACCUCGGUUAAAGCACCAAACGACCUUUGCCUAGAGAAAGUAAAAGUGGAAACGGAGGUAAAGAAUAACCGGUGACAGCCAGAGAGAUGUUUAAAGGCACCGGCUCUGCAGUAAAGUUAUGACUCCAAUCAAAGGUGCCUGCAGCGACAGUUAAAGGCAUGUGAAGUCAUUUCUUAACACUAAUCUCCCGCCAAAGUCGGACGUAUCAGGGUCGCCUGUGGACCCCCUUAGGUUUGGUGGUGGAUUUGAUUGCACUCUUAGUUGUUAACAGACCUUCAGCCUUACCACUUGCUAGCUGUGUGGCCUUGAGAGAACGCUUUAACCUCUCUGUGUUCUGUCUGUUUCCUCAUCUGUAAAAUGGAGAUGAUGAUGAUGAUGAUGAUGAUAGUGCCUACCUCAUAGAGUUGCUGUAUGUGAUUUAAAUAAGAGAAUGUGCGUGAAGGGCUUAGGAGACUGUCUGGCACAUGCUCUACAGC
rnacentral:lncRNA from 1 species